GUGGACAUGAUUAAGGCAGGUAUAAUUGACCCGGUGAAGGUUAUCAGAACUGCGUUGGUUGAUGCUGCAAGUGUUUCAUCUUUGUUGACUACUACUGAAGCUGUUGUUGUCGAACUCCCGAAGGAAGAGAAGGAAGCUCCAGCUAUGGGAGGAGGCAUGGGUGGAAUGGACUACUGAGAUUCACCUAGUUAAUACCACAAAUAGUAAAUUUCGUACUUGGCGGUAUUUCUUUAGUGAUGGAGGGAUUGGCUAAACUUUUUGAU
rnacentral:misc_RNA from 1 species